GACGGAGGGUGCUAGCGUUGUUCGGAAUCACUGGGCGUAAAGGGCGCGUAGGCGGCCAAGCAAGUCGGCUUGUGAAAGCCCGGGGCUCAACCCCGGAGGUGCGGCCGGGACUGCUUGGCUGGAGGCCGGAAGAGGAGGGUGGAAUACCCAGUGUAGAGGUGAAAUUCGUAGAUAUUGGGUGGAACACCGGUGGCGAAAGCGGCUCUCUGGUCCGGUUCUGACGCUGAGGCGCGAAAGCGUGGGGAGCAAACAGG
rnacentral:rRNA from 1 species